AAUAAAGUGCCUGAUUAAAGGAUUAUUCUGAUAGGAUAAAUUAAGUAGAUUCCUACCUUUAUUA
rnacentral:tRNA from 2 species